rnacentral:rRNA from 1 species
GGUUAAGUGAAUAAGGGCGCACGGUGGAUGCCUUGGCACUAGGAGCCGAUGAAGGACGGGACUAACACCGAUAUGCUUUGGGGAGCUGUAAGUAAGCUAUGAUCCAGAGAUUUCCGAAUGGGGAAACCC